CCCCCAUCCUUUACGACAGAAACCAGAAAGAAAAAAAAAGAGAGAGAGAAGGAAGGAAGAGAGAGAGAAAGAAAGGGAGAUCCGUCCAAACCGUCAACAUUUUGGAGAAACCUCAAGGAAGGUUGAGAUGAAGCUACUGCCAAAAUUUGGUGACCAUCGGAGAAGUUGGCCGCCUCAUGAACAGUGGCGCCGCGUGAAUAGUGCAGCGCGUGAAUAGUGACUUAAAUUCUGUGUUUAGCUAAUUAAAUCACAUAAUUAAGGUAGAGUUUGUAUGUGUGAUUUUGGUGAAGAUUGGAGAAGUUUUGAAUCGAUUAUAAAUUUCUGAAAUUUAGAAUUUCGAUUAUCGAUUUACGAGAAUCCGACCGUUGGAAUUCUCUCGAAUUUGCCCUAGAACUUGUAAAUUAAUGGAAUGUUGUUAGUGGUAAAGUUUGGGUUGGAUCGGAGAAGGAAAUAGAGAUGUUGGCUUGAGAGGAUUGAUUUUGGAAUUCGUAUUUAAUUACCGAAUUGUUAUUCACGGAAAUAUAAUUGUGUCCAGGGCAACAUACCGAGCUAUUGCUCGACGAAGGAACUCGUAUGCGUGAUCGCCUAUAUAGUACUUUUGCAGGCGAAAUUAGUUGAGGUCGGGCGUACAUUGGAGUUGAGGCAUAGUCAACAACAUGGCUUCCGCAUUUUUAUUUGAUAUAGGUGUUCCUUGAUUACCUUUCCUUGCUGUUAGAAUUGCUCUGAUUACCUGAGAAAAUUAAUGUUAUUUAAGUUCUGAUUUGUGUUAUGUGAUUUA